rnacentral:rRNA from 1 species
GACGAACGCUGGCGGCGUGCUUAACACAUGCAAGUCGAACGGAAAGGCCCCUUUGGGGGUACUCGAGUGGCGAACGGGUGAGUAACACGUGAGUAACCUGUCCUUGACUUCGGGAUAACUUCAGGAAACUGGGGCUAAUACCGGAUAGGAAUCCUUGCUGCAUGGUGGGGGUUGGAAAGCUUCGGCGGUUUUGGAUGGACUCGCGGCUUAUCAGCUUGUUGGUGGGGUAGUGGCUUACCAAGGCUUUGACGGGUAGCCGGCCUGAGAGGGCGACCGGCCACAUUGGGACUGAGAUACGGCCCAGACUCCUACGGGAGGCAGCAGUGGGGAAUAUUGCACAAUGGGCGGAAGCCUGAUGCAGCAACGCCGCGUGCGGGAUGACGGCCUUCGGGUUGUAAACCGCUUUCAGCAGGGGCGAAGCUUGUGGUGACGGUACCUGCAGAAGAAGCACCGGCUAACUACGUG